ensembl:lncRNA
AGCCUUGGUCUAGCCCAAGAAGCACUGCAGCUGUCAUUAGGGGACUUUCGCUUCUCCCUGUUGGUCAACGGCCUGAGGGCUCCUCCACCCUCACCCCCAAGGGCCUGACUGAAACCCUGCUAGAGGACUUUGAAGAAAGGCGGACCAGGCUGAAGCUCGAAGAGAGCUCUGUCGUGGACGCUACGCGUGUGACGAGGCACAAAAGCCCAAAAGCCGUACGCUGGGAGUCGCGCGUGUACACUAAUGAAGACAGCUGAGUCUACACGUGGAGUGAGUGUGGAAUCGGACGACGCUCAUGCCUGCACCGAUCUCUAGACUCGAUGAACUGGACAGGCUGGAUUUAAAUGCUACAGUGCGCUUACACAGACACACACCCUAUAGUGACACUUAACCAGAAGCACCAUGAAUUAUGAAGGACAUCAUAAUAUACCACGAAGGGGAUCUCUCUAAACAUGGCGAUAAACGAACAGUGGCCAAUGAAUGUUAGUGCAGGUAAUACCUUUUCCUGCCUAUAGUAGCAAAGUAUAGCGCAGUGUGCAUGUUUAAGCUUCUACAAGCUUUUGUGCUCUCUCAGAGACAAAGCUACUCUUCAUCUGAUGGACCUCUGCCAAGCGCUACUUGACGUUGAGACAACAGGAAUAAAGUACUCUGGUUUGAAGAGACUGUGUUAAUAAAGCUUGAUAAAUUCUUCCUCAUCAUCAUCAUCAAAAAGAGGCUUUAAAAACCUGUGCAGAUAAAAAAUUGUAAUCCUAAAAGAAUAGACUGAUAAUAAUCUGUCCAGCAGAUGCCCUCUUAAAAAAACUUCUUCCAAGACAGAGCAGAGUUUCUGUCUGGACAUCUUAAGCUUAAUAUUAUUUCAAAAUAAAAGAUUUUGUCUUUAUGAGAUCAAAGUUAGGAGAAAAUCAGUUUUGGUCUCAUCAAUUUGCUUUCCUAUUCAAAUGCUAAUCUGAUCCUGCACUUAAAAAGAAGCUCUGAGCACAAUGUCCCAGCGAUCGACAAAAUGACUUGAAACUAUUAAAUUGAAAAAAGGGCAUAAAGUUCAAAGCAAAAAGACUUGUAACAGACCGCAGGAAUCUUCAGCGUGGUAAGGGGCGUGGGUAUUAAGCUCAGUUCUCGGAGAGCUGCAUGGAUAUUCAUUCCAGUAACGGUGGUUCCAAGAGUACAUGAGCAUCUUAUGCAAAGUGACAUAAAAUCAUGAAAUCAGUUGCCGCUGCGCAAGGGAAGAACAAGCACCUAUCGCCCUGUGCAUCAUGUCCAGGUGCAGUACUGUGAAGCGCACUUAUUUGACUGAGCAGCAGAGGGCGCAUCUGCGAUAUUGUUGAAGGCAGAAGGACUCCAAUCUCCAUAAUGGCAGAAAUAGAACAGGUUACAUAGCCUAGAACAGUGUAACGAGCGGUUUAAAAAGUAUUUUUUAAAAAAAAACCAGUGUAAACAAAGAAAUAAAAUAAAAUGCAGAAUCUCUAUGAAAGUACCUCUUAGUACCAAAAUGUGAUGUUUGUACUUUUGAUUAAAGACUGAUAAGCUGGAAAAG